rnacentral:rRNA from 1 species
CAGCAGCCGCGGUAAUUCCAGCUCCAAUAGCGUAUAUUAAAGUUGUUGUGGUUAAAAAGCUCAUAGUUGGAUCUCAACAGCCUUGAAGCGGUUAACUUUGUAGUUUUACUGCUUUAUAGGCUGUGCUUUUGCUGGAGGUUUAGGGGUGCUCUUGAUCGAGUGUCUCUGGAUGCCAGCAGGUUUACUUUGAAAAAAUUAGAGUGCUCAAAGCAGGCUAAAAUGCCUGAAUAUUCGUGCAUGGAAUAAUAGAAUAGGAUGUCGAUCCUAUUUUGUUGGUUUUCGGGACUCGACAUAAUGAUAAAUAGGGACAGUCGGGGGCAUUUGUAUUCAAACGACAGAGGUGAAAUUCUUGGACCGUUUGAAGACAAACUACUGCGAAAGCAUUUGCCAAGAAUGUUUUCAUUAAUCAAGAACGAAAGUUAGAGGUUCGAAGGCGAUUAGAUACCGCCCUAGUUCUAACCAUAAACGAUGCCAGCUAGCGAUCUGCCUGCGUUUUUACUGUAGACUGGGCAGGAAGCUUCCGGGAAACCAAAGCAUUUGGGUUCCAGGGGAAGUAUGGUUGCAAAGCUGAAACUUAAAGGAAUUGACGGAAGGGCACCACCAGGAGUGGAGCCUGUGGCUUAAUUUGACUCAACACGGGAAAUCUCACCAGGCCCGGACACUGGAAGGAUUGACAGAUUGAUAGCUCUUUCUUGAUUCGGUGGGUGGUGGUGCAUGGCCGUUCUUAGUUGGUGGAGUGAUUUGUCUGGUUAAUUCCGAUAACGAACGAGACUCUGUCCUGCUAAAUAGUUUCUACUUCUCUUUUGAGUAGAAAUUUCUUCUUAGAGGGACUGGUGACUCUUAGUCACACGAGAUUGAGCAAUAACAGGUCUGUGAUGCCCAAGGGC